GGGUGCACAGGGCUCCCCCUGGGUUGCACACGUGCAGAGUGAGUUCUGUGAACCAGGAGUGACAGAAAAUCGUAGGCUCAGGGAAGCGCACAUUAGCUUAUCAGCUCUCAUGGUCACACAUCUUUGCACCUAUUGAUUUUCUUCCUUUUCAUGUUAAAAGAGGUCACAGAUAUGAUCUGGCUUCAGAAGUAUAAAUUGCAGGCCCAGUAUACCACAGUGUUUAUAUUUUUCUUAAAGAGCGGAGAACUACCAGUGUCACAAAAUGCACUUGACAUGUGUCACCUCUCUUUCCGGUGGAGUUUCGUGUAUUCCAGCGGGAGUUCUUUAGGUCAAGAACGUAAGAGCCAGGGUGACACUACUAGGAAUGGCCAACGGAACAACUGCCGUCCCGACCCAAUGAAGCAACACGAGCAGCCUGGUCAUCUGCCCGUCUUCCCCUUCCAAUAAGGCAGGUCAAGAACUAAUGAGAAAAUCACGGAUAGGAACAUCUGGAUAAAACUCACCCACGAAGUAAAUGUCACAUUUGAUGAAGCCGACAUGUGACAAGUGUCGGGGUGUGACCUGAUGCUCCCCCAUGUUUCCACUCCUGUUCAUAGUGGUGUUACAGCUUGGCCGGCCCAUAGACUGAACAGGCAGGCAGGGCCAGGUACCAGGAGGGCCUUCCCAGAUCCAGUCAGCCGCCAGCAUCCUAGAUCCUGAAAGGUUUUAUUCCACAAUUUCCCCUCUGAUAAGAUACAGAAAGUAGAACAAGUGAUUUGUGAGAAGUAAAUCCAGACAGCUGCCAGGUCUCACAGUGAACAAGGGAGCAUGGGGUUUGCUGGAGAAAGCCAGCCUUCCUCACGGCCUCUGCAGCGUUUGAUGAACCAGACAGUGGCACUAACCCUGGCUCCAGCCUCAGAGGCCCGAGAACCGGGCGCCUGCGGUCCCUCUGUGCCAGUCGAGCAGCGUGGCGUCCACAUGGCGUCCCCGGCAGGCUGAGGCGGGACAGGCCGCCGCCCCAGAAACCUGAGUUAGCCUGGUGCUGUGAGCUGAGCUCCACGGGAGGGCUCCCUCUGAGCACCCCAGUCUUGGGGAAGAUCUCCACCGUGUUUCUUCCAGAAUCAAUUGCUCACCAAAUUCUGUGGAAGACGUUAUACAGGUGCACACGUUCAAGACACCACACAGGGCUGAGAGCGUGUCCUUCACCGUGGAAGGUGUAGACGACACGGAGAUGAGGGGUCCUGGUGAACAGGUCCUCCUGAAAGGUGGGAGACUUCCACCAGGAGGAUUAAGACAUGCCAGGAACGAGAGGAAGAGGCCCAGGAGAGGAGGAGGCCAGAAACAUCUGGAAGGGUCCGUCUUCCUCUGCCUAAAAUCAGUCUCCAUUAGCCCUAGAGUGGCUGGUGGUAGGGCUGUUGUGAGGAGAGCUCCGCGCCCGGGGCAGUGGGUAGUGGACUGUCCUCUGCCCCAUCCUAGCAGGAGAGGACAGAGAAAGGAGUGUCCCUCACGGUCAGCUCUGCAGCCACUCCUGCCUGCCACUUCUCCCCACCCGAAACGCCCACCUUCCUUCAUUUCUGAGGUGACAGUCAGGGACGAGGCUCAGUUACAGGUGGAAGUCUGUCCUGACUCAUUUGAGACCCAGCCAGGCAGGUCUUCUAUCUCCGAUAGACAUCACAAUGUAGCAAGCCUGAGAGAAUUCUGACUUAAUUGUGACUGAGUCUGUGGGGCCUCCCCGUUUCCUCCUGCACUUUGUCCUGGGAGCCUUCCGAAGCCUGGCUCCACCUUCUCCCAGCCUUGGUUCAUCAUCACCAUCUUUUCUCCGAUGAAGGACCAUCACAUCAGAUAAGAUGUGCUGGUUCUCUGAGUUCAUCAGUGGGUACCAGGCCCUUCCAGUUUCAGUUUGGCAGAAUAACCACAUUUCUUCCUUUUCAUAAAUUAUUCCAAUACAAUGAAAACAAGAAAAUAAAUCCAAACUCCACCUUUAACAAAAGUAGAGACAUGUGCACUUGCAAAUCUCAAAAUAUGAAGACAGAAAAUGGAUGCAGAAAAGCUGGGAAGAUCCUUUAGACCAGUGCUCUCAACUGGAGGUGAUUUGUCCUCUCAGAGGACGUUUGGGUGGAAGGGUUGCUCCUGGGAUCUAAUGUGUAGAGGCCAAGGGUGCUUCUGAACACACCACACUGCUCAGAUGGUUCCCCCAACAAGAAGUGUCUGGCCCAAAAUAUCAAUAUUGCCACUGUUGAGAAGCCCUGCUUUAAACCCAAACGCUUUCCAGCCAAUUCUACGGAACAUAGGCUAAAAAGCAAGAACUAGAAAAGGAACAAAAGAAAAAAAGAAGCGUCAGCACCCUGUUUCCAUGGACACUGUAUUUUUCUGUCUCUGAGUCAUGUGGAAGACAAAGGUAAAACGGCGUGAUCAUCACCAUUAACUCCUUUCUUCUUGCGUGAGUGAUAGCUAAGGCCCUGAACAACCUCACGAGCUGCACACGCAGUUUGAUGUGCCAGUGUAGACGUGGAGCUUAAAAGUACCCAACUUGAGAGAACACAGAGAGAGAGAAAGGUUUGGAGAAUCCGUGAUAUUGAAACAUGCGCGUAAUCGGGGACCGUCAACUUAAGCUGAGAAUCCUGAGCGCCGUCACUCCGUGGCCACAGGGUUCCAGCAUCCACUGGGGUCCCCUCACCACAGCCUGUCCAUGCAAAGCCUGUGUCAUUCGUCAGUAAACCGGGAAGGGAGGCCCUCUCAGGUCACACGGGGCUCGCAGAAUCUCCUUAGGUCAAAUCUCAUUAGGUCGAAUUUGUAAUUUGUUGUUAAUUUCUUUCAAAGUUAAAUGCUGAUAGUUCUAGCACUGUCCCUAGAAUGAAAUAAAAUUUACCCUAGAAGAAAUUCUAGAUUGAGAAACUUUAAUCCUAGGAACUAAAAAGAUUCCAGAAUGAACAAUUUAAAAUGAAAACAAUGGCCAGAAAUUUGAUUCAAAAAUAAAGUAUAAAAAUGGGGAAAGUUAUUCUUGCAAACUAAAUGUGCUGCCUAGAGUUACUCAGGAAUAUCUCAGUUAUGUAAGGCGUCAUUUUUCUGCCUAUUACCUCAUUAUUCAUGUGUACAUAACCCUACUCCAAAAUUUUGUUUUAUAUUUUUCUAAUUUCCUUUUGGGAAUUGGAAGAUCAGUUCUCGUCCAAGCUUCACGCAUUGCUCUCCGUAUUCCUAGAAGAAAGUUACAUGACUGGCUGAACCUUAAUUCCUUCAGAUGUAAACUUGAGAGAAACGGCUAAGGCAGUCGGAAUGAGAGUCCUCUGUAAGGUGCAGUGUAAGUGGCUGUUUACAGCGCCUUCAUUCGCAAUCGCCAAAACAUGGACGCAACCAGGACGUCCUUCUGUAGGUGAAUGGAAACCCCCACACAAUGGAGUAUUAUUCAAGCCUAAGAAGAAAUGCGCUCUCAAGCCAUGAAAAGACAUGAAGGAAACUUCACUGCAUAUUGCAAAGUGAAAUAAGCCAAUCUGAAAGGCCACAUGCUGUAUGAUUCCAACCAUGUGACAUUCUGGGGAAGGCAGAAGAUGCAGACAGUGAAAAGAUCAACGGUGGCCAGGGGCUUGGGGG
ensembl:lncRNA